rnacentral:misc_RNA from 1 species
UCUCCGUUGGUGAACCAGCGGAGGGAUCAUUACCGAGUUUACAACUCCCAAACCCCUAUGUGAACGUUACCAAACUGUUGCCUCGGCGGGAAAUUCAUGCCCCGGGCGCGUCGCAGCCCCGGACCAUGGCGCCCGCCGGAGGACCAACCAAAACUCUUUUGUAUGUCCCUCGCGGACUUUUAUAAUUCUGAACCAUCUCGGCGCCCCUAGCGGGCGUUUCGAAAAUGAAUCAAAACUUUCAACAACGGAUCUCUUGGUUCUG